CGUAACAACAAACGAAAGCUGAAGUAAUAAAACACGCUGUGAUUGGCUCUGGAGGACCGUUUCUGCAGUUCAGGCUGAAGAAGAGCCGAGGCACACCUGUGUGUGAAGAACAGGUGUGUUAGAGACCUCGGCACAGAUGUGAAGAAGAGCAGCUAAGAUGAGAGCUCCGGUGUUCCAGAUCUACUGGCGUUUAGAUCAACUGGCGUUGGUCGAACAGAUGUGUGGCAGACUUGCGUUUCAGGAGCUGCUACCGACAAACCAGCAAAAAAACGCCAAAUGUGUCACCUGUGACACUUGUGAGGUUGUCUCAAACACACUCCGUCAGUCUUGAUGCUGUUGAACAACAAAAUGUUUAAAAUGUGGCGGGA